ACAAACAUUUUUUACCCUGAACUACGAAACCCUGAUUUUCCCAUUGCACCUGGGAAUACGUAGGAGCGAGAUUCAACAUCUUGUCGGGCAUAAUAAAAAACAAAACCUUUUUCCCCGCAUAUAUAAUCAAAUAAAUAAUAAUAAAAACAAACUUUUUCUAUCGAUGAAGCAAGAAACGAGUAAUCAAGCAAACAUUAAAAAACACAUUAAAGCAAACAAACAUUUCCCUCUAAAAGGAUCCCGUUGAGUACAACGGAUGUGAGGGGUGCUAAUACCUUCCCCUCGCAUAACCAACUCCCGAACCCUUUUUUCUCUACCCCUCAAGGUUUUCUCGAUAUUUUCCUU
rnacentral:lncRNA from 1 species